rnacentral:rRNA from 1 species
GUGGGGAAUCUUGCGCAAUGGGCGAAAGCCUGACGCAGCCAUGCCGCGUGAAUGAUGAAGGUCUUAGGAUUGUAAAAUUCUUUCACCGGGGACGAUAAUGACGGUACCCGGAGAAGAAGCCCCGGCUAACUUCGUGCCAGCAGCCGCGGUAAUACGAAGGGGGCUAGCGUUGCUCGGAAUUACUGGGCGGAAAGGGCGCGUAGGCGGACAGUUUAGUCAGAGGUGAAAGCCCAGGGCUCAACCUUGGAAUUGCCUUUGAUACUGGCUGUCUUGAGUACGGGAGAGGUGAGUGGAACUCCGAGUGUAGAGGUGAAAUUCGUAGAUAUUCGGAAGAACACCAGUGGCGAAGGCGACUCACUGGCCCGUUACUGACGCUGAGGCGCGAAAGCGUGGGGAGCAAACAGGAUUAGAAACCCUUGUAGUCC